AUACGGAGGAUCCGAGCGUUAUCCGGAUUUAUUGGGUUUAAAGGGAGCGUAGGUGGAUUGUUAAGUCAGUUGUGAAAGUUUACGGCUCAACCGUAAAAUUGCAGUUGAAACUGGCAGUCUUGAGUACAGUAGAGGUGGGCGGAAUUCGUGGGGUAGCGGUGAAAUGCUUAGAUAUCACGAAGAACUCCGAUUGCGAAGGCAGCUCACUAGACUGUUACUGACACUGAUGCUCGAAAGUGUGGGUAUCAAACAGGAUUAGAUACCCUGGUAGUCCACACAGUAAACGAUGAAUACUCGCUGUUUGCGAUAUACAGUAAGCGGCCAAGCGAAAGCAUUAAGUAUUCCACCUGGGGAGUACGCCGGCAACGGUGAAACUCAAAUGAAUUGGCGGGG
rnacentral:rRNA from 1 species